CAGCUCUGCAUUGUUCUUUCCUCUCGUCCAUCAUUAUUUGCGUGGACCGACACUCGUUACUGCAAAACGCCUUCUCCCCUCUGUAAUAUAUCAAAUAACACGAGAUUCAUCAUCAAAAUUUUGUGCAACCAAACAAAUUAACGACAAAAUUUUGUGCAACCAAACAAAUUAACGACCACACUCAGCUUUUUAUUUCGAAAAGAGAAAACCAAUUCAAUUACCUGUACAUGUAUAUAUCUCUGCCGUGCAGCUUUUUCUGGCACA
rnacentral:lncRNA from 1 species